AAAAAAAGCUAGGGGUGCUUGAAAUGAGCUGAGAUGGCAAUGCCAGACCCUUUGAACCUGAUAGAGUUAGGACUCGCGGAGGAAAGCUGAUCACACGCACG
rnacentral:ncRNA from 2 species